UGCAACCGUGUCCUACGUGGCACAAGACGACGUCGUUUGUAUUUUGAAUUAGACAAUCCGUUUUCCUGCAUAUUUUGCAUUUUCACAUUUCCCUCCUUCACUUUCUCCCACUCGAUCCAGACCCUUCUCCGCAUUCCCAUCCUCCCCAUUCCCUUCUUCUUCCUCUACUCUGCUUCGGUCAGCAUCGAAACGAGUAAGCCGUUCCUUCGCUUUGCUUCGGUCAGCGUCGAAAUGAGUAAGCCGGUUCCGGAUUUCACUUUCUCUCGCUCGAUCCAGACCCUGCCGUCUUCUCCCCAUUCACAUCGUCUUGGUCUUCUCCUCCAGAGCCACGAAGUCGGUUCUUCUUCUCCACCAUAUGGGAAAUCUGAAGCCUUCAGAGCAGGUGGUGAAUGCCGGAAAAGAGUCCUUACAAUGGGGUAGAUGAAAGGUAUAAAUUCUUUGCAUGGGCAGAUAUACUACAGUUGCUAGAAGAGAACAUUUUAUUAAGAGAGACUAAGGCUAGGAAGACGUGGGAUGAUGUAUUAAAAGUAGUGGAAUGAAUUUCCAUUUGAUGUGCAUUGGAUUCUGAGUUGCUGAAAUUCAGAAAUGUGUUGUACUGCUUUUAUGUGGUGUAAAUGUGAACUGUAACUGCUAGGUGUUGGAAUUGAUUCUCUUUCUUCUUAGGGUUGGAACACAAACUAGUAACCAUGUUGGUGCUGGUACUAGUACUGGUACUCAAAUGCUUGGAAUUGAUUCAAUUUUCUUGAAAGCAAAAUCUACCUUGCACUUUUUCUAA